CCCUUAGAUGUUCUGGGCCGCACGCGUGCUACACUGAGUGGAUCAGCGGGUCAGGUUGCGCGAAAGCGUUUCCUAAUCUUUAAAUCCGCUCGUGAUGGGGAUUGACGGUUGCAAUUUUCUGUCAUGAACGAGGAAUACCUUGUAAGCGCGGGUCAUCAUCCCGCGCUGAAUACGUCCCUGCCCUUUGUACACACCGCCCGUCGCUCCUACCGAUUGAAUGAUCCGAUGAAUAUCAUGGAUUGAGGAUGCAAGUAGGUUAGCCUAUCUUCAUCUUCGAGAAGUGAAGUAAAUCUUAUCAUUUAGAGGAAGGAGAAGUCGUAACA
rnacentral:rRNA from 1 species